CAGCCAUCUGCAGCCCUUCCCCGUGGCUGGGCCAGGCCACGCCCUACAAAAUGUCGGGGGAAGACACUUGGGGAGACGGGGCAAGAGGCCGGGCCGGAAGGAGGUCUGGAUCAACAGUUUCAUAACUGACGAUGUGUUGGCUUGGCUGUGCAAGCGGAGGGUUUAGCAGGACCAGUUUGAGCCCAGCCUGGUGUGCGGAGGCGUCUUCCGGAUGGCAUUGGACUCCCAAGGGACCCCAAAUCACCGAAAGCAGGGUUGCUGUGUAGAGGCCCCGAAAGAGAAUGGAGAAGGCUGGGCCAGCGCCCGGGGCACCCCUUCCUCUGAGCCGGGCUCUACCCCCGCGCCUCCCGAGGCACAUCCCUGGUCCCUGUUCCUGGAAACGGGCCUACUUCCUCCACCCACCCCUCACGUAAGUGUCCCCAUCUUCCCUUACCCCUCCCAUGCUCCUCCCAACUCUGGGUUUGACUCCAAGGAGCCACAGCACCCUGUCCUUCAGGGGCUGCGCUGCGUCCCCCAGGAGGCCCUGGUGCCAGACGGUCGGGAAGGAGGGAACCCUCUCUGCAGGGAGGGGCUACCUGGUCCCCCGAAGGGGUGUGGGUGCUCUGGGCAGAGGGAACCAC
rnacentral:lncRNA from 1 species